rfam:Ananas comosus cultivar MD2 ACMD2_Scaffold_8187, whole genome shotgun sequence.
UCUUGGCUUAGUUAGGAGGCGUAGAGAGAAGGAUACUAUGAAUCCUCCCAGGCCCUUUUGAGGGAACAUCAUGACUGCAAUAUGGUGUUCUCCAAGCAGCCUUAGAUAUUA